UACGGAGGGUGCAAGCGUUGUCCGGAUUUAUUGGGUUUAAAGGGUGCGUAGGCGGCUUUUUAAGUCAGUGGUGAAAGCCAACAGCUCAACUGUUGAACUGCCAUUGAUACUGAGAAGCUUGAGUACAGACGAGGUAGGCGGAAUUUAUGGUGUAGCGGUGAAAUGCAUAGAUACCAUAAAGAACACCGAUUGCGAAGGCAGCUUACUAGGCUGUAACUGACGCUGAGGCACGAAAGCGUGGGGAUCAAACAGG
rnacentral:rRNA from 1 species